CCUACGGGAGGCAGCAGUGGGGAAUAUUGGGCAAUGGGCGCAAGCCUGACCCAGCAACGCCGCGUGAAGGAAGAAGGCUUUCGGGUUGUAAACUUCCUUUAUCAGGGACGAAGCAAGUGACGGUACCUGCUGAAUAAGCCACUGCUAACUAUGUGCAAGCAGCCGCUGCAAUACGUAGGAGGCAAGCGUUAUCCGGAUUCACUGGGUGUAAAGGGCGUGUAGGCGGGAGUGCAAGUCAGAUGUGAAAACUAUGGGUUCAACGCAUCGCCUGCAUUUGAUUCUGUACUGCUUGAGUGCUGGGGAGGCAGGCGGAAUGCCGGGUGUAGCGGUGAAAUGCGUAGAUAUACGAAAGAACACCGGUGGCGAAGGCGGAUUGCUAGACAAUAGCUGACGCUGAGGCGCGAAAGCGUGGGGAGCAAACAGGAUUAGAUACCCCAGUAGUC
rnacentral:rRNA from 1 species